UCACACCAUCCUCCUCCCUCCAUGUGAACUAUCCAGUUGUUAAUCCCAGAACCGUAUCCCUUAUCAAUGUGGUAAGCUGGUGGACUUCCAUCCAAGCAAACCGCUCCUCUAGCUUUUGCAGUUUCAACAAUAGUAAUAGGAAUGCUAUCUCCUUCUGCUCUGAGCAAUAAGCAGACUACAAGUAGAAGACAAUGCCAUUGGGGGCCAAAUCUUGAAUCACCCAUUUUUCUUCUGCUUAGAGAAAGCAUAAUGCAAUUAAU
rnacentral:misc_RNA from 1 species